rnacentral:rRNA from 1 species
CAAUAGCGUAUAUUAAAGUUGUUGCAGUUAAAAAGCUCGUAGUUGAACCUUGGGUCUGGCUGGCCGGUCCGCCUCACCGCGAGUACUGGUCCGGCUGGACCUUUCCUUCUGGGGAACCUCAUGGCCUUCACUGGCUGUGGGGAGGACCAGGACUUUUACUGUGAAAAAUUAGAGUGUUCAAAGCAGGCUAUUGCCUUGAAUACAUUAGCAUGGAAUAAUAAUCUAGGACUUCGGUUCUAUUUUGUUGGUUUCUAGUACUGAAGUAAUGAUUGAUAGGGAUAGUUGGGGGUGCUAGUAUUGACCGGCCAGAGGUGAAAUUCUUGGAUUUGCUGAAGACUAACUACUGCGAAAGCAUUCGCCAAGGAUGUUUUUCAUUAAUCAGGGAACGAAAGUUAGGGGAUCGAAGAUGAUCAGAU